CCAAACGACUCUCGGCAACGGAUAUCUCGGCUCUCGCAUCGAUGAAGAACGUAGCAAAAUGCGAUACCUGGUGUGAAUUGCAGAAUCCCGUGAACCAUCGAGUUUUUGAACGCAAGUUGCGCCUGAUGCCUUCUGGUUGAGGGCACGCCUGCCUGGGCGUCAUGC
rnacentral:rRNA from 1 species